rnacentral:rRNA from 1 species
GACGAACGCUGGCGGCGUGCUUAACACAUGCAAGUCGAACGGAAAGGCCCUGCUUUUGUGGGGUGCUCGAGUGGCGAACGGGUGAGUAACACGUGAGUAACCUGCCCUUGACUUUGGGAUAACUUCAGGAAACUGGGGCUAAUACCGGAUAGGAGCUCCUGCUGCAUGGUGGGGGUUGGAAAGUUUCGGCGGUUGGGGAUGGACUCGCGGCUUAUCAGCUUGUUGGUGGGGUAGUGGCUUACCAAGGCUUUGACGGGUAGCCGGCCUGAGAGGGUGACCGGCCACAUUGGGACUGAGAUACGGCCCAGACUCCUACGGGAGGCAGCAGUGGGGAAUAUUGCACAAUGGGCGGAAGCCUGAGGCAGCAACGCCGCGUGCGGGAUGACGGCCUUCGGGUGGUAAACCGCUUUCGCCUGUGACGAAGCGUGAGUGACGGUAAUGAGUAAAGAAGCACCGGCUAACUACGUG